UUGAGCCGAAUGCAGGGUAACUUGCCUGUUCGGUUCUGAGAGGAGGGAGGGUCAGUAAUGGCCCUCUCUUACUCGAC
rnacentral:ncRNA from 1 species